rnacentral:lncRNA from 1 species
AGGAAAUUCAUCACCACAGCAGGAAACACAGUGCCCAGUGCCCUGUGCAGAGGCAGAAGCCAAAGGAACCAACACAAACCAGUAGUACCCCAGAUUUUUUCCACAUCGACUCUGUGACCUUUGAGGUGCGGCCUCUGGAAGGAUCCAGAUGUGCUGUGGCAGCGAGUUUUUCAAGAGAUAUUCCAUCUAGUGGUCACUAUGGUGAACUGCAGCCUGCCUCUCAGCCGGUCCGUUGCUAAGGGCGGCAGCUGCAGCAGUUCAUCUCCCUGUCUGAGGCAGAGAAUCAUGGGAUAUUUACACUGAGAGCGACCUCCAGAGAUUUCCUGUCAAGACAUCUGCCUCCAACCAGCACGAACAAUAUGUCUUAUGCUUAUAGUGUUGUAUAAAACAGGUUACAAAUAGUACCACGUUUUAAUUCUCACACCAGCCCCAUGAAUUUUGAUGUAGUCAUUAUUUCCAUUUUAAAAACGAGGCAAUGAUCACUCAUAAUUUAAGUUUCUUGGACAAAAAUCACAAUAUCUCCCUUUCAAGUCAACCGUUUGCUGACCUCAGGAAAAUAUAUGGGUAUUUAGAGAUUUAAGAGACUGAGCUGCCCCAUCUCACAUCCGAGUUUUUGCUGGAAAAUCAAGUCAGUGUUUGGAGCUGGUUUUACAUAAGUAGUUUUCAGUUAUGAGUGGAUUUAGUCUACCUACAAAUUUAUCUUCAAAUUUCUCUUUCAAUGGGACAAAUUGAAGGGUCUUGGUGAAGGGGUGAGGAAGAAUUGUCAUGGGCCAACUAUGGGAGGAGGGGCUGAUUCCAGCAUCUGGGCUGGAGGGGCACCUGGGAAUACAGGAGAAGAGAGAGUAUCAGAAGAGGUCUUGUAAGAGGAAAUUAAGCCGGAUAUAACCCCGAUGUGAAAUCACUGGGCACAUCUAAAGUCCUUGCUUUAAAUAUUCAGCAGUCUUCAGGGAGAAAACGAAUUAGCCAAUAAGGUCAUCUGAAGGGAGAAUGAAAAGAGUGUUUGAAAGCAGCAGCAAAAAAAAAAUCUACCAUUCACUUACUCAGCAACUCCAUUAGAGGCUCCAGUUUCUCACAGGGGUUGAAACUGUUCCCUAUGUCUAUACCCU